rnacentral:rRNA from 1 species
UGGCGGACGGGUGAGUAACGCGUGGGUAACCUGCCUUGCACUGGGGGAUAACACUUAGAAAUAGGUGCUAAUACCGCAUAAGCGCAAGGUCCUGCAUGGGACAGUGUGAAAAACUCCGGUGGUGCAAGAUGGACCCGCGUCUGAUUAGCUGGUUGGCGGGGUAAAGGCCCACCAAGGCGACGAUCAGUAGCCGGCCUGAGAGGGUGGACGGCCACAUUGGGACUGAGACACGGCCCAAACUCCUACGGAAGGCAGCAG